rnacentral:rRNA from 1 species
AGAAUCAACGCUGGCGGCGUGCCUAACACAUGCAAGUCGAACGCGAAAGGGGAGCAAUCCCUGAGUAGAGUGGCAAACGGGUGAGUAACACGUGGGCGACCUGCCUUCGAGUGGGGGAUAACUUUCCGAAAGGAAGGCUAAUACCGCAUGACAUCCCGUGUUUAGAUACACGGAUAUCAAAGCUGGGGAUCGUAAGACCUGGCGCUUGAAGAGGGGCCCGCGUCCGAUUAGCUAGUUGGUGAGGUAACGGCUCACCAAGGCUCCGAUCGGUA